rnacentral:rRNA from 1 species
GACCCGUAGCAAACAGCUCAGUAACACGUGGCCAAACUACCCUAUGGACGAGGACACCCUCGGGAAACUGAGGCUAAUCCACGAUACGGCUCCCACGCUGGAAUGCGGGGAGCCGGAAACGCUCCGGCGCCAUAGGAUGUGGCUGCGGCCGAUUAGGUAGACGGUGGGGUAACGGCCCACCGUGCCUAUAAUCGGUACGGGAUGUGAGAGCAAAUAGCCCGGAGAUGGAUUCUGAGACAAGAAUCCAGGCCCUACGGGGCGCAGCAGGCGCGAAACCUUUACACUGCACGCCAGUGCGAUAAGGGGACCCCGAGUGCGAGGGCAUACAGUCCUCGCUUUUGUACACCGUAAGGAGGUGUACGAAUAAGGGCUGGGCAAGACCGGUGCCAGCCGCCGCGGUAAUACCGGCAGCCCGAGUGAUGGCCGCUGUUAUUGGGCCUAAAGCGUCCGUAGCCGGCCGAACAAGUCUGUCGGGAAAUCCAUCUGCCUAACAGAUGGGCGUCCGGCAGAAACUGUUCGGCUUGGGGCCGGAAGAUCCGAGGGGUACGUCCGGGGUAGGAGUGAAAUCCCGUAAUCCUGGACGGACCGCCGGUGGCGAAAGCGCCUCGGAAGGACGGACCCGACGGUGAGGGACGAAAGCUGGGGUCUCGAACCGGAUUAGAUACCCGGGUAGUCCCAGCCGUAAACGA